CUAAAAGAUAAGUCAUGCAUGUACACACUCAGGCAAUUUUUUUCAGUUUUAUAAGUUUUAUUCUUGAUAAUAAAAUUCUUUUAACAGAAAACUCUUGAUUGCUAUAGACCUCUGCUGUGUAUUCAGUAGUCACUAGCCACAUGUGGCUAUUUAAGUUAAUUCAAAUUAAAUAAAAUUAAAUAUCAGUUCCUUAUUUGCACUAGUCAGAUUUUAAGGAGUAAGUAGCCACAUGGGCAAGUGGCUACCAUAUUGGACAGUGUGGAUACACAACAAUUCCAUCAUCUCAGAAAGUGUUAUUGGAUAGUGUGGCUACAGACUUUUCUUGCUCAGCAAUCUUAGUCUCCGCAUGUUAGUCUCUUCAUGCAUUAGGUAGCAUCUAUAAAACAUGCCAAAAGGAAAUAGGCUAUCUCUAAAAGUGUCCCAAACUUUUUGUCUUGUAAAUUAGCUUAUCAGCAUACUUGGAGCCUCUUGCCUUAAAAAGGACUUGAUAUAAAUGUGUAUCAGGAGAAAGCCUAUCUUAUGAAGGAAUUAUUCCCUUUUUAUUUGAAUCCAUGUUUGCUUUAUCUUCGGCUCCUGAAAACUGAUACUUUGCAUUUAACAGCAGCAUAUGCCCAGGAUGAAUGAUAAUACAUCUCCUGAUACAGAGCUUGAGGUUACAGAAUAUCUUAAAUUGUUCCAGGAACUGUUGUUAUCAUUUAAGUCCAAUAAUCAGUAAGAUUUCACCCUACCAGAAUACACUUUUUUUUAUUAACUGUCUGGACCUUUGCUGAUUACAUUGUCCGGAAUGUGGAGUAUCGCAUUUGAGAAGAGGAUUGGAUCCUAGCCAUAACAUAAAUAUAAGGGUAAUUACAUCCAUGCUGAGAAAGAUUUAGGAAUGAUAGUAAGUUCAUUUGAGUGAGUGGUUUGGGCCAAACUUGAUAGAGAAUAGUCCAGGAAGACAUUUACUAUAAACAGUAGAUUAAAUGUUCUUGCCUGGUUAAUUACAUUUGAACUCUGUUAAUGACUGAAUCACUCAAACUGCUUAAUUGUAUUAUUAGAUGCACAUUUAAGUUAUGUAUUACAUGUCUUUAGUGGUGAUCAGAAUUUUAUCAGUUCCUCUGUCUUUCUUUAUACCAAGUAUGACUCAUAAACCCAGUAUUAAUUUGCCAAGAGAUUGGCAUACUAUUUGUAUAUAUGCUUUUCUUUCAAAUAAUCUGGAUUCCCAAUGCCCACAAUCAUUGAUCCUAAAGAAAAUGUGAGAGUAGGUAGAUAAACUCAAACAUCCCUACCAUCACCCCUGGUAGGAAAUCACUGGUGUAAUGUAUGAUAUUAACAUCUGCACCAAUUACUCUUAUAGGUGGAACAAUCCAAAGUUUUAAUCAGAGAAGGUGGUGUUCAGUUGCUGCUUACAAUAGUUGAUACCCCAGUAUUUGGAGAUGCAGUGGAUAACAGUAAUUGCUGGCAGCCUGCUAUCAAUUACAUUGAUAGUAAAUUUGAGGACUACCUAAAUGCAGAAUCGCAAGUGAACAGAUGUCAGAUGCCUGGUAACAGGGUGCAGUGUUGUUUAUACUUCAUUGCUCCUUCAGGACAUGGACCAUUACAUAACUGAAGACUCCCACCUUCAGGCAGGUUUGGGUAGUACACGUUUGUAACUACCUGGCAUUGCCUUUUGUUGAAGUAAUUUCAGUUUUUAUUAGUAGUAGUAGUAGUAUACUUUAAGUUCUACAGUAUAUGUUCACAAUGUGCAGGUU
rnacentral:lncRNA from 1 species